GACGAACGCUGGCGGCGUGCCUAAUACAUGCAAGUCGAACGCAGUGGGGACGGGUGAGUAACACGUGGGUAACCUCCCAUCAGAGGGGAUAACCCUUGGAAACCGGUGCUAAACCGAUACUGAUGGAUGGACCCGCGGUGAAUUCGCUAGUUGGUGAGGGAACGGCGAACCAAGGCCACGAUGCAUAGCCGACCUGAGAGGGUGAGCGGCCACACUGGGACGGAGACACGGCCCAGACUCCUACGGGAGGCAGCAGUAGGGAAUCUUCGGCAAUGGACGAAAGUCUGAUCCAGCCAUGCCGCGUGUGUGAAGAAGGGCUUCGGAUUGUAAAGCACUGUAAGUUGGGAGGCGUUACCAACAGAAUAAGCAACGGCUAACUACGUGCCAGCAGCCGCGGUAAUAC
rnacentral:rRNA from 1 species